rnacentral:lncRNA from 1 species
AGUACUUCUCUGAAUAGUAAAGUGGUGAGUCAGUAUUCUACACUUCUAGCUCCAUUAGCAGUAGAUGCGGUUCUCUCUGUAGUGGACCCGGCCAAGCCCGAUUUGGUGGACUUGAGGGAUGUCAGGAUAGUGAAGAAGCUUGGUGGAACUGUGGAUGACACGGAGAUGGUUAAUGGUUUAGUCUUUGAUAAGAAAGUGAGCCAUGCAGCUGGUGGACCUACACGAGUUGAGAAUGCUAAGAUUGCUGUGAUUCAGUUCCAGAUUUCUCCUCCAAAGACUGACAUUGAGCAGAGCAUUGUGGUUUCAGAUUAUACCCAGAUGGAUAGGAUUUUG